rnacentral:rRNA from 1 species
GAUGAACGCUGGCGGCGUGCUUAACACAUGCAAGUCGAACGAAGCACUUUUCAAGAUCCCUUCGGGGUGAUUGGGAAGUGACUGAGUGGCGGACGGGUGAGUAACGCGUGGGUAACCUGCCUCAUACAGGGGGAUAACAGUCAGAAAUGACUGCUAAUACCGCAUAAGCGCACAGUAUCGCAUGAUACAGUGUGAAAAACUCCGGUGGUAUGAGAUGGACCCGCGUCUGAUUAGCUAGUUGGUAAGGUAACGGCUUACCAAGGCAACGAUCAGUAGCCGGCCUGAGAGGGUGAACGGCCACAUUGGGACUGAGACACGGCCCAGACUCCUACGGGAGGCAGCAGUGGGGAAUAUUGCACAAUGGGGGAAACCCUGAUGCAGCGACGCCGCGUGAAGGAAGAAGUAUUUCGGUAUGUAAACUUCUAUCAGCAGGGAAGAAAAUGACGGUACCUGACUAAGAAGCCCCGGCUAAUUACGUGCCAGCCGCCGCAGUAACAC